rnacentral:lncRNA from 1 species
CUUCCUUUGCUUGACCAAUCAGGGGAUGUGGUUCGUGGUGGCUGAUGGCUGGAAGACCGACGAUGGGCGGCGACAACAGGUGGCCGACGUUGGUGAAUGGCCGACAAUGGGCAACGAUGGAAGGCCGGGGUGGUGGUGACCGACCAAUCAGAAAGAAUCAUGAAAAAAUAUGAAAAACAAGGAUCCAAUCCUUUUCUUGGAUUUUCUAAGAUGGCCGUUCACCGACGGCCAUGAUAUCGCCGUGAAGGGUCGUGGAGAGGCUGAGGGUCAUGAUCCAAGGGUGCGGCACUGCAAACGAUGGUGUCGGUGGUCAGAAAAAGAAAGAAAAAUCGGACCAAAAAUAGAAUAUUCUUUAAAGGUGGAUUUCCAACAAAUCCGAUAGUCGGC